GAUGAACGCUAGCGGCAGGCCUAAUACAUGCAAGUCGAACGGUAACAGGUGUAGCAAUACAUGCUGACGAGUGGCGCACGGGUGCGUAACACGUAUGCAACCUACCCAUAACUGGAGGAUAGCCCGAAGAAAUUCGGAUUAAUACUCCAUAGUAUAGUGAAGAGGCAUCUCUUUAGUAUUAAACUACGGUGGUUAUGGAUGGGCAUGCGUUGCAUAGCUAGUUGGUGAGGUAAUGGCUCACCGAGGCUACGAUGCAUAGGGGAUCUGAGAGGAUUAU
rnacentral:rRNA from 1 species